rnacentral:RNase_P_RNA from 1 species
AGUUGGUCGGUCUGUCGCUUGCACCUCGCGUGCAUGAGGAAAGUCCGGGCAACACAGAGCGUCCCACUUCCUAACAGAAAGCUGUCCGUGAGGGUAGAGUAACGUAGAAGAAAAUAACCGCCGUCGCCCUUGGGCUACGGUAAGGGUGAGAAGGUGGGGUAAGAGCCUACCAGUCUUGUGGCGACACAAGGGCUGUGCGUCUUGGGAGUUGUAAGGUCAUGUAAACCGACGUUAUGAGAGUUGCUCGCUCCAUGUCGGAGGGUAGACCGCUAAAGCCAGUAUGGUGACAUGCGGCUCAGAUAAAUGACAGACACCUUAUUAUAUAAGGUACAGAACCCGGCUUACAGACCGACUGCU